UAGUAUAGCUCAGUGUACACAGAACGAGAUCAAGAAAAGCGCUGUAGAAAUGAUCAACAUGAUUAAAUAACAUUUGUCCAUGUACUUGCAAAAUGACUUUCUUAAUGCUUAACAGUGCAUUGGCGGAUCCCAAACUUUGUAUCCUCACACUUUAUUCUGGGGUCAGUAUGAUUCUUUAACAUUCACCUAUAAUUAAAAUUGUG
rnacentral:lncRNA from 1 species